rnacentral:lncRNA from 1 species
CUGGAAUUGAUGUUCUGAUGUUAGAGGUAAAAGAAGUCUCUGUGGACUAUGGCACCUGAGGCACAGUUACAAGUAAGGGUAUUGUUCCAAAUAAAGUGAAUGCAUGCUUCCUGAGUGCUUGAAGUCUUUCCCCUACUGAGCUUGAAGAGUGCUGGUAAAAGGCCUUUUCCCUCCACAAAGGAAAUGAAAAGUCUUCUCUUGAAAAUCUGACCAGCCCAAGAAAAACUAAAGAUACUGAGAUAAGGGCUACCAAUAAGCUCAAUAAGAUCAUCAUGCAAUGAAACUCCGUUGGUAAGUCCUACCCACAAGGUUUUAGACCCUCCCCUUAAACAUGAAGAGUACAUUGAGGAUUAACCUUCACCUGAAGAAUGGCUAACAUUAAGGAAGGGAAGAAAACCAACUAGAGAAGGUAAUUUAGAAGAGAUUAUCAGGGGAGAAAAUGUAAUGUACUCAAAGAUUUAAGAGAUAACAUUGUAAAUAAGAAACAUUACAGCAUAAAUUAAAAAUUAUAAAGAAAAACUCAUUAUAAGAAAACGUCAAAAAACAAAACUACCACCAUUAGCCUUAGAAAGAGAAGAAAAUCUACCGGCCGGGGACGGUGGCUCAUGCCUGUAAUCCCAGCACUUUGGGGGGCCGAGGUGGGCAGAUCACGAGGUCAAGAGAUCGAGACCAUCCUGGCCAACAUGGUGAAACCCUGUCUCUGUUAAAAAUAUAAAAAUUAGCUGGGCGUGGUGGCGGGAGCCUAUAGUCCCAGCUACUCAUUAGGCUGAGGCAGGAGAAUCGCUUGAAUUCAGGAGGCGGAGGUUGCAGUAAGCCAAGAUCAUGCCAUUGC